UACGGAGGGUGCAAGCGUUAUCCGGAUUCACUGGGUUUAAAGGGUGCGUAGGAGGGCAGGUAAGUCAGUGGUGAAAUCUCCGGGCUUAACUUGGAAACUGCCAUUGAUACUAUCAGUCUUGAAUAUUGUGGAGGUCAGCGGAAUAUGUCAUGUAGCGGUGAAAUGCUUAGAGAUGACAUAGAACACCAAUUGCGAAGGCAGCUGGCUACACAUAUAUUGACACUGAGGCACGAAAGCGUGGGGAUCAAACAGG
rnacentral:rRNA from 1 species